CUCAAUAGCAGUGCACAUUUCUCGCCAUGUUUGGGGUGGGGUGUGCUUUGACAGUGAUCAAGAUGCUAAUUACCACACAAACGUCAUGCAGCCAAAGAAUAAGUUGGGAUCAUAGUACUGGUCUAGUGUUGUCUCUUUGGACAUAUCUACCACUGGCCAGCCUCCAAAUUCCCAUACACAG